AAACCAAGGCUUGUAACCUUUAAAAUAAGUCAGUAAGCUGAUAAUUUUUUCAAUCUAACUAAGAUAUUAAAGCGUACUUGGUUGAUCCAAGCUAAGAGCUCUUGCCGAGAUUCAGACAUGUUGUGUGGUAUUGAGAUGAUAGAGUCGCGUCGUACAAGCGCUGCAGAAAACACAAUGAAUUUUAUUGACACCAAGUGAACAAAUAAAUU